UACGAAGGGGGCUAGCGUUGCUCGGAAUCACUGGGCGUAAAGAGCGCGCAGGCGGUCGUUCAAGUCGCGUGUGAAAGCCCCCGGCUCAACUGGGGAGGGUCACGCGAUACUGAUCGACUCGAAGGCAGGAGAGGGUAGUGGAAUUCCCGGUGUAGCGGUGAAAUGCGUAGAGAUCGGGAGGAAGGCCGGUGGCGAAGGCGGCGCUCUGGAACAUUUCUGACGCUGAGGCUCGAAAGCGUGGGAGCAAACAGGG
rnacentral:rRNA from 1 species